rnacentral:lncRNA from 1 species
UGACAACCCAAGCGCUAGCGCCGGCAACACACAUCAAUGUCAUCAGUAUGAUUGUCUUGGACCAGUGCUGCAUGUUGAAGCCCUUCUCCCAGUCGAGUCUGCAAAGAUAUUUGAAGAUUAUGUAUGCCGGUCGGAAAUGGGGGAAGCCACAAACUUUGCACGAUAGCUGCGCAUCUGUUGAGCUGCAACUCUCCACCAGCCACCGUUUGAGACACUCAUGGUGCACCGAGCUAACAUCGCCAGUACAACGACAUGGUUGUAUAAGCGGUUCAGGUUUGUCAUUAUCAUAACAAAUCCAGCAGUCUUUUUUCGUCAAAAAUGAUUGACCUUCCUCCGGUGAGAGGCUCUUAGUUUCAGCCGAUGUAGUCGGUAUGGAAGGAUCGAUUUGACGUGAGAGCAAUUUGCGUGGAUUCAAAAUCCAAAGCUGCUCGGGUGCCAUCGAAUUCCACAGGCAACAGGGGAACCAAACAGCAACACCCAUCUCCACAAUACGGAAGACAAUGUCAUGCCAAUUGCGUGAGUACACUGGCACUCUGGACAAAGUGAAACGAAAUGAAAUCACCUAAUGUCUCUGAUGUGAGGAAGCCCACAAUAACGAUUAACAUAAUCGCUUGCGAUAAUAGACCCAAACGCGACUGAUGUAGCUGUGAUGCAUUUACGAUCGCUUCACUGGGACCGAGUAUUUUGCCUGUCUGAUCAUAAACAAAGCCGCCACGCAACUUGAAAUACACUUCGACGCCAUAGAUCAAAAAGAAAAUAACUACAAUGAGUAGCAGCACUGCAUAACAGCCGUUGAAAAUGUGCGCAUAAUUCUGCCGAUCGGCAGUGAUCAGCGAUGAGAAUACUUCAACGCCAAAUAAGCUGUAGAGGAAUAAGUUAAAUGCAACAAAGCCGAGGAAACUCUUCGAUAGAAAUUGUGACCGCUCCCAACGGAUAUCGCGUAAAUGGAAAAUCUGCAACGAAAGGAGAAAAAUAAAAGCGGCUGAUUCCAAAAAAAAAAUAACGUUUACUGAACGACGUUGCGACUCAACCAUUUCGUACUGAAUGUUAGAAACGCAUUUGUCAUUCCCUUUCGCAAUUAAUUGAUAAGAAUUGGAUUAUAAAGAUUAUGUAUGUAUGUACAUAUGUAUGUCGCAAUUUGAAAGCACAGAAAUCAAAACAAUAAACACUACGCAACAUUCUACUAGUUAAUAAAAACAAAGAUCUUUGAACGAAAGCAGUCUUCAACAACAGCGAAGUUCUCUUAUUUUUUUUUAGCGCUUAUGCACGUGAACGAUUCGUUGAUAAUGAAAGUAUUCAAGUGCACAAGCACCAUCAUAAACAACCAGGUGCAAAUGUACUUAAAAUUAGCUAUAGGUUUAUAUAGCAGAUGUGUGACAGGGUUCAAUCCUCAACACACCCAUUAUUUCACUAUUUACAAUUAAGGUAGACGAUAACAUUCUAUUAAAAGAGCGUUAAGCAAAGAACUCAGUUAAGAGAGAGUCUGAAUAGAAUUCCUAUAUCAGAAAUAAAGCUUUCGAAAGCUUAAAAAAUUAAUUAUUCUUAUGCUAACUACACACGAGGCAACCUUUGAAGCAACCAAGCUUUGUUGUUUCACCUGUGGAAUCGCGCCUAAAUAUCAAAACAUUUGAAAACAUGAAAGAAAAAAUUCAAC